AGUAAUAUAAUUUUUUUUUUUUUUUUUUUUUUUUUUUUUUUUUAUNGUUUUCUAAAUCUGAAAAAAGUUGAGACGGAGAAGAAUUCUGAAGUCCCCGUUGGUCUCCGUCGGAAGUGCGAGUCCUCUUUCAUGUUCUUCCUUCUAAAGGCUGAUCACUGAUCCAAAUCAACAUUCUCUCCCCCGCUGAGCAACGAACGAAGCGGCAUUAUCGAUCUAUUCCCUGUUUGUAGAUCUCAGUCUUAUCAGGCAAGUCGAGUUUGGAUUUCUCUUUAUUAGUUGAAUUUUUCUAAUUCCUCGAAAUGAAAUCUAAUUGGAGCUUAAUCACUGCUGCAAUCACGAGUAAGUUGUGUUUCCGAUCACUGUUUCUGUUUCUACAGUUGUUAUACUAGCGGCAUCUCUCUUUUUUGUUCCUUUAAUCUAUUGGAUUGUUGGAGAUAUUUGAAUUAUCUGUAAAUUUUGUCUGCACUAGUUGUAAUAAGUUGGUGUACGUUCAAUCUGGAUUGUAGAAAAUACUUUAUUAGCAUUCUAUUUCAAUAACCAGGGGAAGUUUAGUAAAUUAGCUUAGAAUUUUCACUUCAAAAGCGGUGCUAUAGUUUUUCCUUCAUUUCUUAGGUUAGAUCUGAAUCAGUCUCAUUAUUUCCAGGUUAGUUCUGAAUCAGUCUGAUUGUUGAGUAAAAACCAGUAAUUAACCUCAUCUAUGAUGUGAUGCUGUACUAUUUUGGAUAUUUAAGCCCUUGGACACUGCAAGGAUUAUCAUCUUAUUGACAUGCUUCGUGGCUUCAAGACAAUUAAUGUUCAUCAGUUUAUUUCUCUGUCUUUCUUGGUCUUGCAUAGAAAUGUAUACUUCCCUUUUUAUCAUCUGUCGGAGACUUUUGCGAAAAUUUAUUUAAUAUGCGAUUCUCAUGUCUAGAUUAAUCAUCUCACCAUUACUAUGUCACUUUCUGAAGUGUAGAAAUGGAACCAUUAAGGGGGUGUCUAUGUCGCAUUUGUUCUUUCCAAAUAGAGUUUUGACGUGCAUGUUUCUAAAUUUAUGAUCAUGUAUACUUGGAGAAACCAGAUAAGUGGUUGCACGCCUAUUGAGCUGAUUCAAGUAGCAAUACAACCACCUGAGCAGUGAGAAAUUUAAUGUCUUAUGUACUUAAAUAUCAAAAUAUUGCUAAUGCAGAACCUUAGUGAAUCUAGGUUGGUUUAAUUUCCGAGUUCCUGGUUGGUUGGUGUUCACCAAGAUGAGAAAAUUGUCGGUAGUCAGUGUAAUCCUGAUGUACUUAACUGCUCAAGUUUCCAGGUAGAAGGAAUCCAGUUUCCUGCAGAUGAAGGUGGUGCUACACAAACACACGGUGGCGUGUAUUGGUGGAUCUUGCCAGCUGAAUAUCUCUCUUUUUCUUGAACACACACAUUCUAUUUGGAUGGUAGAAUAGCCGCAGGAUGCAUCCUUGUUUCUCUUUUUAUACUGUUCAAUGCAUUGGUUUCAGCAGCUGGUUGGGCAAUUAUGUUCUUAUUAGAACUUGGUUUCAGGGCAAAGUUGCUAUGAAUAAUCAUCUCGAACUGCCUUUGGAAGUUCAAUUUUAGAUCUCUCACUUGAUCUGCCACUAAUUCACCCAUCUUUCUAGGUUCACUCUGUUCAAAUUCUGGUUUCCAGGCCAGCCUUUUAAUACUUGUCAUGUCUACAUCUCCAUUUUAGAGCAUCUUUUGGAGGGUUUUUUGCUGACUAAAUCACUUAUGUCAUGUCUAAAACCACUAAAAAGAGCAUGACCAAAAAGAUUUUUGUCAUCCCAAAAUCACUUCUAGGUAUACCCAUAGUAUAAUAUAUGUCCUUGAUUGGGAGUGGGAUCAAAGCCCACAUGGUUUUGUUUGUGAAUAUGCAAAAAACUUCAAAACAUCUUAUCUAUCUUCUCAAAUUCUAACCAAUUUGAGACUUUUGUAGUACACAUUAUUUAACCUAGGAAGAGAAAUCAAUAGAUGUUUAUCUUCUAGGUUGACGACUUCCUAGAAUAUCUGCUCCAUUUAGGCCGUACAUUUAAGUUUUCCUCUCAAUUUUGCCCGCCUAUAGUUAGUUGGGAAUAUGCUGAACUUAUUGAUUUUUCUAUACGGCCAUUUGCAGUGGGCUAUGGAUCAGUGAGAGUUGUGCUUGAUAAAAGUUAUUGUGGCUGAUGCAGGCAAUAAUACAAAUGUUAUCCUCAUCUUCUGCUUUUAAGAUUCAUCAUAUCUCUUGGUGUUGUCCGGGUCUUGUAAGAACAACGAAAAAGUUCAUUGUUUACCUCAUUCGAAAUGAGGGGAUGGAGUGAAAGACUGGCCAAUCUAUUUACUAAAACUGCAGGUGUAGUGAACAGCCUUUUUCUCAGUUUACGGUAUUUAUGAUGAUCUAAAAUCCCAAAGAGGUCACUCAAUGAUGCCGAAAAUUUUGCUGUAGUGUGUCCUUGCUUGUGUAACAGUGUCGGAUGAGUUUAAAUGAGUUGCCAAAACAAUAACUCCGCAUCUUCAACUUGUAUUCUUGAAACGAGAUAAUAUAAUUGCGUAUGGAUUGCCGGGGUUUUAUA